rnacentral:lncRNA from 1 species
GUUUAGCCUUUGUUCCCCUUCCUACUGGAUGGCUAAUUAUUGUCCCUGGCUAAACCAUUGAGUCAGAUGGCUAAAGUAAUACAGCCUGGAGAAGAUUAAAGAGCUAUCAAAUUUUUAUCUCGCGGAGGGAAAAGUCCUUUUAGACUAUGCGUGGCAAGGAGCUCUCUCUGCCUGACCGCUGUGCCUUUGCUCUGCACCUGAGACGCAGCUCCAGUUAUGGAAGGAAGUGAAACUGGAGACUCUAACUUUC